AUACGUAGGUGGCAAGCGUUGUCCGGAUUUAUUGGGCGUAAAGCGAGCGCAGGCGGUCUCUUAAGUCUGAUGUGAAAGCCCCCGGCUCAACCGGGGAGGGUUAUUGGAAACUGGGAGACUUGAGUGCAGAAGAGGAGAGUGGAAUUCCAUGUGUAGCGGUGAAAUGCGUAGAUAUAUGGAGGAACACCAGUGGCGAAGGCGGCGCUCUGGUCUGUAACUGACGCUGAGGCUCGAAAGCGUGGGGAGCAAACAGGAUUAGAUACCCUGGUAGUCCACGCCGUAAACGAUGAGUGCUAAGUGUUGGAGGGUUUCCGCCCUUCAGUGCUGCAGCUAACGCAUUAAGCACUCCGCCUGGGGAGUACGGCCGCAAGGCUGAAACUCAAAGGAAUUGACGGGG
rnacentral:rRNA from 1 species